ACUAUCAUAGCUGGUAUCCCAGUAGUUUAGGAUACCAGCUAUGAGUUUUUUUUAAGAGCUACGACAUUGGCAUCUCAAAUAGAGCAUCAUGAAAUACGAAAAUACAUGCUCUUCUGAGAAGCAUUAUCUUCAUUCCAGACAACAUAUUCGGACAUUUAAACAUAUCAACAACUUGCAAGGAUAAGAAAUCAAACAGUAGGGAUUGUAGGUGAAGAGCCCUCUCUUUCACCCCUUUCACCGACACUGUUAUCUGCAAACUUUAAGCUUGCUGAGUGUUCAAUCGGUAUUCUAAUAGAAUGGACAAAAGUUGGAUAAAUAAGUUAAGAUCUA